UAUGAGAAGUGACUGAAAUCCUUCUUUUCUCCACCGUGGUUUUUUUUCAGUUCCUAUGAAAAUUUGCAGUUCCCUCCUUUGGAUGUCAAGUGCAUCAGGACAUGCUAGUUCCCAACAACACUGUCAUACACAGCAGAACAAAAGUUCUGCGUUUGAUGGGGAUACAGGAGCUGAAAAGGGACAAGAGAGACAUGAAUAAUCUGCACUGCCUGAACAGAAGCAGGAGUGGGUUCCUGAACUGUGUCUUGCAGGAAGGGAAGCCAUGGUGAACAAGCCAGUGGGGUGGGUGACUGCUGUUUCUUCAGAGGUGAAAUCAUCCUCAUCCAAAUCAAAGAGUUUCACUUAUGAACCMUGGAAAAUUCAGAUACAUUUUUCCAAAGUCAGAAGACCUCUAGGAGUUUGUGCUCCUUGAAAGUCAGGAUAUGGUCCUGAUGGCCAGCAUGGAAACAGGAGGAUUCUGCAUCYGAGAGCCUGUGUGGGAAGGCUCAAAUAAUCCCCUUCAGUCAUUUCCCAUGGCUUCAGAAUUCAAGAAGUAAUUUGCAUUUGUCUAAAUUCCUGUAUGUGCUUAUAAGCCCUGGCUGCAUUUCCUGGUGGAAGAUCAGACGUGAAGCCUCUGCUGCACCACCUUACUGAUGGAGGAACGUCUUGUGGGUUUUUGGGAGCUGACUGCAGUCUAUGUCCACAUGCCUUUAAGCCCCUCCUAAUAAUUCUUGGUUUGCUUUCUAACAAAAUCAUUCUCUUGCUUUGGCUUCCUCUGCACUGAGAAGUCAUAAAUAAGAAAAUCAUGGRGGUAUGAGAGGAGUAAGGGACACUUUGCUGAAGUAUUGGUGGGAGUAUGUUCAGCUUGUUACACCUGGUUAAAUAGAAAUAUCCCACAUGUUCUUAUCCAUGAGAAGAAUUAGAGAGGAAUUAGCCAGGAAUCUGAAAUUGAAACUCUGCUGAAAGUCUGCUGUGUCUGUGUUAUAUAAGGAAUGAAGGUAGUCACUUACAAACCCCAAACCUAAGUAUGGUGAUGGCAAUCAGAGAGUGAAAUAAACUCAUUGAUUCYUGUUCUUAAUGUAAGUGUGUCCUUACCAGAAAAUAUCAAUGAGCUCAGCAAACAGACUCUACCAGGUGAAUUGUCCAGAAAACAAACUCCUUUUUGCUGCCACAUGAGUGGGGU